rnacentral:rRNA from 1 species
GAACUGAAGAGUUUGAUCAUGGCUCAGAUUGAACGCUGGCGGCAGGCCUAACACAUGCAAGUCGAGCGGAUGACGGGAGCUUGCUCCUUGAUUCAGCGGCGGACGGGUGAGUAAUGCCUAGGAAUCUGCCUGGUAGUGGGGGACAACGUUUCGAAAGGAACGCUAAUACCGCAUACGUCCUACGGGAGAAAGCAGGGGACCUUCGGGCCUUGCGCUAUCAGAUGAGCCUAGGUCGGAUUAGCUAGUUGGUGAGGUAAUGGCUCACCAAGGCGACGAUCCGUA